rnacentral:rRNA from 1 species
UACAGAGGGGGCAAGCGUUGUUCGGAAUUACUGGGCGUAAAGGGCGCGUAGGCGGCCUUCUAAGUCGAACGUGAAAUCCCUGGGCUCAACCCAGGAACUGCGUCCGAUACUGGAAGGCUUGAAUCCGGGAGAGGGAUGCGGAAUUCCAGGUGUAGCGGUGAAAUGCGUAGAUAUCUGGAGGAAUACCGGUGGCGAAGGCGGCAUCCUGGACCGGCAUUGACGCUGAACAGCGAAAGCUAGGGGAGCAAACGGG